rnacentral:tRNA from 1 species
GUCCCUGUAGCGCAAUGGAUAGCGCGCUGGACUUCCAAUCCAAAGAUGGUGGAUUUAAAUCUCACCUGGGAUG